UACGUAGGGUGCAAGCGUUGUCCGGAAUUAUUGGGCGUAAAGAGCUCGUAGGCGGUCUGUCGCGUCGGCUGUGAAAUCCCGGGGCUCAACCCCGGGCCUGCAGUCGAUACGGGCAGACUAGAGUGCGGUAGGGGGAGACUGGAAUUCCUGGUGUAGCGGUGAAAUGCGCAGAUAUCAGGAGGAACACCGGUGGCGAAGGCGGGUCUCUGGGCCGUAACUGACGCUGAGGAGCGAAAGCGUGGGGAGCAAACAGG
rnacentral:rRNA from 1 species